UGUUUAUUAAAUCAGCAUUCAGUAUAGUUUAUCAAUCACAAUAAUCACAAUAAUCACAUAAAUUCAUGAGACAUAAUAAAACAGUAUGUCUAAUAUAAUCCAAGUCUAUAACACCAGUGUCCAAUAUGUGACUAUAAGGCAAGUGUCCCAAUCUACAUGGUCAACUAAUAUAUAUUGUAUUUCAUUAUUUAAUUUACAUAACAUUAAUA
rnacentral:lncRNA from 1 species